ACUGCUUAAUUUAAAUGCAUGCAGCUCUUUAUUUGUUUAGGAUGUAUGCAAGAAUUUCUAGUAAGUUCUACAUGGAAAGAACUGAACACAACUCGACAGCAAGACAAUCUCAUGUUUAAGUUGAAAUUGAAACUGUAUGCUCAAUAUUUAUGAAAUUGGACGCUCAAUAUGUGUCUAACCAUAUCUAUCACGGGCCUUUGUCACAGAAACAGGGUAAGUAAUCGAGUAGCAAUACCACAUCACCAUGGGUAAGCAGUCCUAUUUAUUUUCAUAAUAAAUACACCAUCACCAAGGAACAUACUCAGUUUUGAAGCAAUGUGUAUAUCCUAUUAUAAUGUUUGGCAACUGAUCAUAAACACUAAGGAGCAAAGCAAGUGUGCACGAGUCCUUUUUAGUAUACAGAACAUCAUCCUACCAUUAGAAGCAAGAAAAAAAAUCACCUGCCACCUGAGCUCUGAUUUUCACAUGGCUAAAACAUUUUGCAAUUCAUAUAUAAACCCAAAACAAUAUAAUGAUACAUUUAUAAAACUCUCUGCCGUUCAUGUAUAAACCAAAAUCAAUAUAGUGAUGCAUUCCUAAAACCCGUUGCAAUUGAUGUAUAAACCUUUUAGGAGUAUUGUAGAUUUUUCCUAAACACGUAUCUAGCAAGAAAGCAGACGGGCGCACAGCGUCCUGCCGACGCUGCCGGACCAAGGACCCAUGUGUCCCCCGCCCCCAUAAACCAGGCCAUGCACCACAGGUCCUGCACCGCGCCAGAUCUGGCCGGGCAAACGCCUGCCGGCCACCACCAAAGCAGGGAAGACCCCGCAGCCGCCACAAAUCACCGGGCCACAGGGGGAGAGCGGUGAAGUGUGAACCUGGAACCCCGACGGAGUCGAGAUGAAGGCGGCAAAGCUCCGACAAUGGCCAUCACAUGAUAAAUAAAGGGAAAAAACCCAAAUUAGCGGAUCUUCUACGCAUAUCCACUGCUAUAGAUUCAAAUAACACUAAUCGGAAAGCAAGGAUGUAGCUUUACAGGACCAACCAGUAGCUAAGAAAUCAGGGGCUAAACAAUUAUCUUGUCUAAGAGCUAGUACAUACUACAGAAUGAAUACUGCAACAAGAAUUAAUAGAACACUUGACCAGUCCAACCAAAUUAAUAGGUUAUAAUACUACACCAUGUCUUGACCAGCUCCAAACUAAAUUCUAUUUGGAUUUUGUGUAAACGAAGCCUAGUUAUACUACUACAAUAACCUAGAACCACUAAAGCACCCACAAACAUUCACAGUAUCCUCAUCUUGAUGAAAGCAAAAAUGUAUCAUAUAGCACGCACGCACACAAAUACUCACAGUAUCCUCAUCUUGAUGAAAGCGAAAAUGUAUAAUAUAGCACGCGCGCACACAAACAGUCACAUUAUCCUCAUCUUGCUGAAAGCAAAAAAUGUAAAUACAUACCUUGACCUGGAACAGUAUGGUCCAGUUUCAGUUGACAGUCUUGAUGAUUCAUGUUGGCCUUUAGAUAUGUUUUUGAACAACAAUUUUUCUUGCUGCUUGUAGAAGACAACAUCCUUCACAUAACCACCAUCUAAGCACUCCGCCAAUGGAAGGCCAUCAGUGAUACAGGCUAUCAUUGUCAGCUUCACCAUUUCAAAAAGAUAACAAGACACAAGCAAAAGUGCCACCUGCACAAAAAAGCAGAGGAGAGCUAGUAAAUACUUGUAACACUAGUGCACUUUGAGCUUGGAUGCGUCGCGACAGCCAAGCCUUGCCGCAUACCAUCAUUUACAUGACUAAGCAAACUUAGAACAAGCAUGACCUGAGAAUAUUUAAAAAGCCUAAUACAAACACUUAAUAUGCCUAAGCAUGGCACCAUAAUCCAAUGAUCAGCAGUACAUAAUUCAAUGAUCAGAAUCACACAUAGCCAUGGCACACAGCAAGCAAGUCUUCAACGAAAACACAUGUUUUGCAAAGCAAGUCUCACCCUGUCAUAGAUUCUUCUCUUCAACCCGGACAAUAAUAAUUAGUAAUAUGAUUUGACUCGUACAUCACAUUAAUUGGCUCAAAAAAAGGAGACAUGUAUAGUUGAGCUGGCUAUUGUACAACAUGCGAACAACUAACACCUAUCUAUAGAACAUAAAAGAGAGAAGCUGAAAAUUAACAACAUUGAACCAACAUCUAUCUACAGAACAUAAAAGAGAAGCUGAACCAACAAAGGUUGGAUGCAACUCCCAGUUGCUUACUCAGUAGAAUUCGACAAAACAGAAGGCAUAAAAAUAAAUUUAGCAAGCAGGUGAACUACUAACUUCCGUCGGUCACGAGCCAAGAUGCAUGCCCAUGCAAUGAAGAAGAAUGUAGCAGGCAAUCGAAUGAAUAUACGGAGAAGAUGAAAAAAAUGAGGUAAUCAACAGCUUAGGCGUGGAGUCCCAGUUGUCGAUGGAGAGCGCCUGCUGCUCCAAAUCAAACAAACAAAUAUGUUUAGCCCACCAAGAAUGGGAGCACGAACCAAACAGUGCCUAUCCCGUCGCAAUUUUAGGCGGUGAGCUAACUGAGGUACAAACUGAGACACCGUUCAAUCAUUCAGUAGCAAAACAAGCUUAUUAUCUAGCUAGUACAGUAGUGCAGGACCAUCCAUCAUGCACACACGCAUCAUGCAGGCACGACCAAAUAUGAAUAUUUUGUGUGAGGGAAUCAUCAAAACCUUGCUUUGGCAGGACUAAAGAGCUCUUGAAUGUUGUGAAGAUAGGCAAAGAAUUAGCUAUGCUACCCAGUAGGUCUAGCUAGCAUCCGGAGCGAGCAUUGACAGAACACACAUUACGUUAACAAAAUGAUAAGAGUAUCAUCAGGAUCAUUACGCUGUUGCUAAAGUAGCAUGUUCGUUGUUUCUGCUCCGUGGCUGUUCUACACAAAACCGCCUUGAAAACCUGAAGAAGAAUAAAAAGCUAGUUAGGCGAAAACACAAGAAACCGAGAUGGCUUGGUCUAAAAGGCUUCAACUGAAAGCUAGUAGUUAGGCUGGAAUCUAAAUGCAGCAUGUGCACAUUGGUCGCACGUGCCAAAUCGGCGAUGAAUGAAUGAGCUACUUUUGCAGCAGAGAAAGCAAACACAAGCAGACAGUACAUAAAGCCUGGCUUUGCAAAAGCAAAGAUUAAAGGUUGAACAUUCAGUGGCAAAUAUAAUAUAAUGGUAAGAAAAUGACGCCAAUUGUGGCAUCAAACAAAUUGACAGCAAGAUUUUCUCAUCUUGGGCAUGGAGAGCCCUAUGUAAACUGAAAAGACAAUGGAUUGAGAUUUUGCCUAGGUAGGACCAACCAACAACCAUGGCAAGAACGAGUUGGAAGCUAGCUCGGUCGAUGAAUUUGUUGCAGGUGAUACAAAUAAAGAACCCAACGGCUGUACCAUCCAUGUGUGUCUCUCUCUGGAACAAGAAAAACAGAGUUUCCCCUCGUCUUAUUUAUAGUCUGCCAGUGUUACAAGCUAACUGAAAUAACGAUUCAGCCGGACACGAUCAAGCUAACAGCUGCGCCAUCCCAUAGCUACUCACGCAUCCACUAAGCCGCCGCACUGGCUGCUGCUAUUGUGUGCCAUCCCACGAAUGCGCAUGCAGGAACAGGAAACAACUCCAUCCACUUGAACAAGCUCAAGCUGCAUGUUCCUGUUUCUCUCUGACGAAACUGAAGAACAAGUACAGCUAAUCGUGCAGCGGGAUUAAAACGGCUAACACCCAAGAAUAACCACCCCUGCACCCAAACCAACCCUGGAUGGAAGAGAAGAGAGCAGAGGAGGUGGCGGUGCUUACCCCUGGUGCGUUGGACGGACCCAAGCAAGGAAGGAAGAAACUUGGUGUCCUUGGAGCUUGUUGGGGCCCAAGAUUUAAAUCUCAGGUCCUCAUCCACCUCCUCGAGGCCUGCAGCAGAGAGGAUUUUCACGAACAGAGCAGCAAAAGCAGCAUCGAAUCGAGAGAGAAAGACAAGGGGGAAGCAGAGAGGACCUUCACAGGGUCGGAGCAGAGGAACCUCGUGGUCGCCCGAGAGGCCGAGAACGACGGCAGUGGCCGCCACGUCCUCUUCUCCUGGCGCAGACGCGGCCGCCCUCGAGCACCUCUGUCGCGGGACCGGACGCGCCGCGGCGGCCGUGGUGGAUCUAGCCGCCCCUGACCUGCUGCUUGAUUUGGGGCCUCGGGUAGGGAGAUAGGGUGAGAGGCUGGGGUCGGCGACAGUGGGUGGAGGGCGGAGGACGGCGCACGGCGGCGAGGUCGCCGGCGUAGGCGGCGGGUGGUUUGGGGUGGGGGAGCGAGGAGGAAGAAAGCGGCGGCGGGAGGGGUUGUGUACUUGGAUUUGGUGCCAAGAGGAAAGUAGAUCCUCUGGUGCUCCUCAUCCCACGGCGGCGGCGGACCGCGUGAUCUCCAUCCACGGUCUCCCUCCUCGCAUCGGCGGCGGCUGACGAGGUGCGGGUGCUCCUCCUCCUGCUGCCGAAUCCCACGACGCGAGCGGCGUCCUGCACCACCGACGGCGGAUGAUGGGAGAGCAGCGACGGCGGCGAGCUUGGUGACGGGAGAGGAAUGGGAGGAGAGGGUGACGGGAGCGCACUGGCGGCGAUGGCUGCAGGGGACGGGAGGAGUGCUGGCUAGGUUUUUCACCCAAUGGCGAAGUGGAGAGAAGCAGGCGUCCCCAUCCGUUCCUUAGCCAGCCAUAGCAUGCCACGCACGGGCCUAAGAGCAUGGUUAAUAACAAACCUGGCCAAACGGGCCGAUUUUAUCGGGCCGGCACGAUAGCCCGCGUGCCCAGCCCGUCAUGGGCCAGCACGGCACGUGGCUUAGUUGGCCGUGCCUGGCACGUGGCCCGGCUAAGGCCGUGCCUGGGCUGCCAUGCCAGGCACGCGUGCCAGCCCGGCACGGCACGGCUAACUUUUUCUUAGCAAAAUCUACUACUAAUCUACUACGUACGUAUACGUACAAGGGACAGAGAGCCAACAAGCCAGAAGGACCAGAAGACGUGCGUGCCCGCGAUUCCUGCAAUCGAUGUGAGUCGCAUGAGUUGACGAGCGCACUGGCGCACUGCGGCGCUGCGCAUGGUCACGGACGGCCGUCCAUUGUUCGACUUUUUUAUUCCAGCCAACGAGGUAGCUAGCCAGAGCCAACGAGGGAACGAUCGAUGUUCUUUUUCUAUAGAAAAAACAGCCAACGAUCGAUACUGUGCCUCGACGUGCCUACUCGGGCCAGCUGUGCCGGCGUGCUAAACGGGCCGCCGUGCCAGCUCGUGUAGAGAGGGGGCCGUGCUUGGGCCAGAGAGGCCCGCACGCGUGCCGGCCCGGCCCGGCACGAUUACUUAGCGUGCCUGGAUGGGUUGUGUCGUGCCUGGCCCGUUUAACCCAGGUCGGGCCGUGCCGGGCCGGGCCGGCCCAUUUGGCCAGGUAUGGUUAAUAAUAUAGCCAGCUGCUGGCUAUAAGCCAGUGUCAUAUCAUAUACAGCCCAUCUUAUAGCCAAUAUAUACAAUAGUAGAUCAAAAGAGUGUAUUAUUUUUUUAUUAUAUGGCCCACAUUUCAUUCUCACAAAGUGCCUAGGAGCACGUGCUAGAGUUGGCUCUUCACGAAGAGCCCGCUUACCUUCUUUCUCAUCUUCUCUUUCCUCCAACUAAGCAGAAAUAUACUAGUUUAAUCCUUAUAGCCCGCUGACUCAGCUCUAUUAUACUUGCUCUAAGAGCAUCUCCAACAGUCGCGCUAAACAAGCGCCGCGCCGCCAAUUUGGACAUUUUAGCGCGCGCGCAACCCACCGGGUGUCUCCAGCGGGCGCGCAAUAACCGCACGCGCGGUAUAAGGAGUUGGGUGUGCUGUCCGAUUCGCUAUCACGCGCGGUAUGUUUGGGGCGCCCGCUUCCGCGCGCGGCACACUCGAGCGCUCGCGCCGCACUCUCUCCUCUCCGCCUCCUACGCCCCGCGCGCGCCGGCGCCGGCGAACUGCACCCCAUGGACGCACGCGCCGGCACCCCGCUCACCCCAUCCUAUAGCCGCGACCCGUCCACCGCUGCCGCCGCCGUCGCCGCCGCCGCAUACCCUAGCGCAGGGGGCGUUGGCCUCGCCUCCGCCGGAGCUCCUCCGANNNNNNNNNNNNNNNNNNNNNNNNNNNNNNNNNNNNNNNNNNNNNNNNNNNNNNNNNNNNNNNNNNNNNNNNNNNNNNNNNNNNNNNNNNNNNNNNNNNNNNNNNNNNNNNNNNNNNNNNNNNNNNNNNNNNNNNNNNNNNNNNNNNNNNNNNNNNNNNNNNNNNNNNNNNNNNNNNNNNNNNNNNNNNNNNNNNNNNNNNNNNNNNNNNNNNNNNNNNNNNNNNNNNNNNNNNNNNNNNNNNNNNNNNNNNNNNNNNNNNNNNNNNNNNNNNNNNNNNNNNNNNNNNNNNNNNNNNNNNNNNNNNNNNNNNNNNNNNNNNNNNNNNNNNNNNNNNNNNNNNNNNNNNNNNNNNNNNNNNNNNNNNNNCCCCAAUGCGGCGCGACCGAAGAAGGGCAAGGCAUCGGCAAAGAAGAACAAGGCGGCGGACGGCUCUGGCACCACGAAGGCGAGAAGGAAGAAGCUUGCAGGGCGUGUGACGGACGCGGUGGCUACCGAAGCGCCGGCGAGCUCACUCGUUGAGCCGGCGGCCGACGCGCACAACGUGUUCGAUGAAAUGCCCCCAAGGUAGAAAUUUUUUUCAACGUUUCUUUUCUUGUUAUUUUUUGAAUGCAUUCAUAUAGAUAGCUUUGUUCAAAAAACUUUGUAGUCUCAACGAUGAUGCAUACAUGUCAACUAUGGGUGUUGGCUCCAACAAUUCGCAUUGGUCUCAAACCAAUGACAUGCAUUUCGAAGACCAUGAGUUCGAGGUGGACGAGGAGGGUGAGGGCAUUGUCGACGCGCCGAAAGGAAGAGCGGGCAAUUACACCAACGCCGAUGACAUCUUACUAUGCAAUACUUGGUUGCAAGUGUCGAGGGAUCCAUCCGUUGGAGGUGAUCAAAGUAGAGAUGCUUAUUGUGGGCGGAUCAAAGAACACUAUGAUGUUCACAACGUGAGUGGAAUUGACCGCUCCGAGAGAUCACUUCGGUCCCGGUGGUCGACAAUCAACUCGGAUUGUCAAAGGUGGGCGGCCUGUCAAAAGGCGGUUGACAAGUUGAACCCAAGUGGCACAAAUGAGGACGAUAGAGCAAGUGGCAUCUCAUACAUGUUCAUCAUACUUGUUGUUGGUGUUCGAAGUGCUAACUUGUUUUGUUUUCAUGUAGUACCACAUUGCACAAAACUUGUUCAAAGAAGAGGAGAGGAAGACCAAGAAGGGGAAGAUCAAGAAAGGAAGGGUCUUUACCUUGCCUCAUUGCUAUAACGUGUUGAAGGAUGAUGAGAAAUGGAAGAAGUGUGAAGAUUUGGAUGAUUUGCAUUUGAGCAACAAACGCAAGCGAACAAUUGAGUUGAAUGAUGACGAUGAUGAUGAGGAGGAUGAUGCAUCAAGUGAUGAUGGCAAGAGAAGCCCCACACCCAACUCGGUUUCAUACUCGAAGCCAAAACGACCGGAUGGGUGCAAGAAAGACAAAACAGAAAAGAAGAAGAGGAAAGGAGAUGAUGAGCUCAAAAAUGCUAUGGAAGCUAUUGUGAAGGCAAGAAAAGAAGCCAACGAGGUGAGAAAAUGGCAAGGAACCAAGAUGCCGCGGCCGAGGAGAGGAGGUUGGCGGCCGAGGAGAGGAGGGUGGCGGCCGAGGAGAGGAAGGUGACUUUGGAGGAGAGUAAGGUGAGCAAUGAGGAGCGAACAAGAUUGUUGGAAUGGGAGAAGCACUUGUUCUUCUUGGACACAUCUAACCUCAAUGAGGCGCAAAAGGAGUUUGUCAAUCUUUCACGUGAAUAAGUCUUGAUCCAAAAAAGAGCCAUGAUUCGUGCAAUGGGUGGUGGUGGCCUCGGCGCCAUGGGUGGCGGUGGCCUCGGCGCCAUGGGUGGCGGUGGCCUUGGCGCCAUGUGUGGCAUGGGUGGCUUCGGAGGUUCCGUGGACGGUUUAGGUGCCAUGGGAGGCAUGGGUGGCUUUGGAGCACCCCCCGACGCUAUGGCCGCCAUGGGAGGCAUGAGUUUUGCUUCUCUCAUGGGAGGCAUGGGUGCACCUCCGCCCGCCAUGGGCGGAAUGUCUUUCGAUGUGCCUCCUCACACACAUUCCCAUGAAUAUGCCGUUGAAGAUCUUGCCAAUACCGUCGAAGUUUCACGUGAUGCGGUGCGCGAUGAGGAGAGGGAGGAAGAAUCAUCUUCGGAGGAGGAAGAAUCGUCUUCCAAAGAUGAGGACGAAGACGAGGACGAGGAUUGAUGUGUCUUUUGUUUGUGUCUUGAACUUGGUUUGCAUUUUGAACUUGGUUGGAUGAACAUGCCCAUUGGAUGAACUUGUGGGCAUGAUUUUGAACUUGUGGGCAUGAACUUUUAUUCAUCAACUUGUUUGUGUGAAAUUUUAUAUGUCAUGUUCAUUGCAUUUUGAAUAUUUUCAAAUCCAUUUUGUGUCCAAAAUGUCAUAUAUGCAAUGCCCCGGCGAGUCGCGCGCGCUGCAUUUUUUGCGUGCUGCUGGAGCGGCGCGUGCGCUGCAUUUUAGCGCGGCUGUUGGAGCCAGCGCUGGCGGCCGUGCAAAACCAGGCGAACGGCGCGCGUCAAACUAGUUUUUAGCGUGCGGCGCGUAGCGCGGCUGUUGGAGAUGCUCUAACACACGGAAUACCACCCAUACCCUCGGCGGGAUGUGACAAUUACGGGCGGUGGCAUGAUAUUUUGACCGCGAAAGGAAUACACCGGGCGCCUCUCCAGGCACAGCCGCUGACACCCGCGGCCCACCAGCGUGGGGACCCACACGUCAGCGAGACCCAGGCGGAAACCACAGAGUGAGCGAUAGCGCGUGGGAGUAGUAAGGCAGUUGGAGGCAGUAACUAUUCAUUCCAGCAGUGCUCAUCCCAGAUCCGACGGCCCAGCUUCCUCCAUAUCCCAAUCCGACGCCCAGAAUCGCAUCAAGCAAAUCCGACGGCCGAGAGUCGCUGAGCUCUAAGGAGCCUUGUAGGAACUUUCAUCUCUUAUUUCUGGAAGCGAACAACAGACUGAAAAGAGGGGCGAUCAGACAGGGCUUCGUAUAUCCUACAAGCGUACUUGGGCUUCUGCGUGGAAAAUGUUCCGGUCCGGAAUGCAAGUGGCCUUCGUCAAACAAAAAAGAGAAGAAAAAAACGUGCAGCAAAAAAAGGGCUGUGAGGGGGACAACAGAUGGGCCGCGCCUCCCGUCUCUACGAAGCUCUCCACCUGGAGGAAGCACAGGAAGCCAGGGGAAUAUGGCGUUAUAAUAAGAGAAAUCAGACUUAAAUCACCACCAACCAGUAAAUUUACUUUUGAAAAGCAUGAGGCAAAUGUUGAAGCCCACAAGUUAGCUAAAUAUGCUUUGUCUUUACUUCCAGGGCGUCAUGUGUGGCUUGGCCAGCCGCAUGACCAGACUUGUAUCCCACACAUUGUGGACUUUGAGUAAUAAAAGGCUUUUCCCUCAAAAAAACUAGAGGAAGCACGAAUCAUCGCGCGGCUGGAUCGGACGGUCUAAAAAGUGAAUGAGACCAAUUAGUUUCUCAUUCGAAUGAGUUUUAGCAAAUCCGCAAUUUAUUUGUCUUUUCGAAAAAAAACUUCCCAUUGGCUCCUCAAACAUUAUGACAAUACAAAGAACAUCCGAGGUGACAUAAAUUUCAUCCAUAUUCAUAGACCACUCAUAGACGACAACAAGCACCGUAGCAAGUUGAAAACACGACGUGAUCAUCACCCCUUUCUCACUGGUAUGAGCAAACCUUGUUGUGGUACAUAGUCGGAAGUUGUCGUACAAAUGCCCCAAAGGAUCAACGCCCCAAAACAACAACCGCCUUCAACAAAGAGAAACAUAGAUUGAAAGGAUCCAACCUAUAGACACACGAACACAAGACACAAAGGAGAUCCAUAGAAGACAAACACCAAGCGAAUCCCUUGAGAUCCGCCGAAGACAACCUUAUUUUGUCUUCAAGGAGCCGUCGCCUUCUCGAGCAGGACACAAAUCCUAAAUAAACUUACAAAAACAUAUAAAAACAAACCAGGAAGCUCCCACCGAUAAAGGUUAGGAUCGAUCGCGCCUCCAUUACCCCGAGGCCACAAGAGACAGACAGAUCAGCAGCGGUGCCUGUGGAAGGUGGGGAAACCCUUGUUGCUUUGGAGUCGGUCGUGGGAAGGAGAAAAACGUUUCAUAGCAGUGAAAUCACACAGAUUAGCCAUAUUAGGAGAAAAAUAUUAAUAUAUUGAGGAAUAAUAAAUUAAUAUAUCAAGUAUAAACUCCAUGAAACUACCAUAAACAUAUUCUUAUGAAAAAUAAUAUAAAAAUAUUCUUGAAUAUAUUGAGGAAGUAGUUCUCUAAUGAUAAAAUUAAUAUUCGUUCAUAAAAACCACAUUUGAAUUAAUUGUUGUAAACUGCACAUAUACAAGAUAAUCAAGCUGGGUAAAUACUUUUAAAUAAAAAGAAACUACCCAGGGAAAAGUUGGCGUAAAAGAUGCAUCUGAGAUGAGCAGGUGAGUUUAGUUGAGCUGGCGGAGCCGGUUAUGGUGAAAGUGCUUUUGACAGAGUGUUUAAUUGCUAGGUGCACACGAGACACACCAAAGCCUCUCGCAAAAGACCUCCCUGCCAAACCCCCUCCCCGCUGACGAGCGGACGACACCGUCGAACUACAGCCAGGAACCGCAUUGCAGACGAGGUACGCUUCUUCUAUUCCCCACAACGAGGGCGCCCAUAGAUCUGAUGGCACGGCUCUGAUUCAUGGACGCUGGUAGACAGGGCAUCGACGUCGAGGGUCGCCCGGGUGGUGUCCUCUGGUUGAUGUCAGGACUCGGGAGAGGGUUAGCAGGGAGAUGCUCCUGACGCCGGUAGAACAAGGCAUCGGCGUCAAGGGUAGUUCGGGUGGUUGAUUUCGGGAGAGGUUACUACGCGGUGAAGCUAGACAAAGCGAUUUGCUUGUCUUCGGCAGCCUAAAGGUCGUCAGCGUGAAGAUUCCCACCGGUGCGAGUGUAGAGGCCAUGGGGUGCGAGUGUAGAGGCCGUGCGGUGGCCCUUUCCUGCGAGGGCUGACGCACUUGACACAGGCGGAAGCAGAUUGGCACUGGUGCGAGUGUCGAGGCCGUGCAAUACCCGAUGGCCGGGCUAGAGGAGCGCAGCGCCCCGAGGUUCACCAUAAUUUCGACGGGAAGAUCACACGUUGGCGUGCGUGCUCAGGAGAUCCAUCGAAGACAAACACCAAGCGAAUCCCUUGAGAUCCGCCAAAGACAACCUUAUUUUGUCUUCAAGGAGCCAUCGCCUUCUCAACCAAGACACAAAUCCUAAAUAAACUUACCAAAACUUAUUAAAAAAACCAGGAAGCUCCCACCGAUAAAAGGUUAGGAUCGAUCGCGCCUCCAUUACCCCGAGGCCACAACAGAGAGACAGAUCGGCAGCGGUGCCUGUGGAAGGUGGGGAAACCCUUGUUGCCUCGGAGUCGGUCGUGGGAAGGAGAAAAAUGUUUCAUUGCAGUGAAAUCACACAGAUUAGCCAUAUAGGAGAAAAAUAAUAAUAUAUUGAGGAAUAAUAAAUUAAUAUAUCAAGUAUAAAUUCCAUGAAACUACCAUAAACAUAUUCUUAUGAAAAUAAUAUAAAAAAAAUUCUUGAAUAUAUUGAGGAAGUAGUUCUCUAAUUAUAAAAUUAAUAUUCAUUCAUAAAAAUCACAUUUGAAUUAAUUGGUGUAAACUGCACAUAUACAAGAUAAUCAAGCUGGGUAAAAACUAAAAAAAAACUACCCUGGGAAAAGUUGGCAUACAAGAUGUAUCUGAGAUGACCAGGUGAGUUUAGUUGAACUGGCGGAGACAGUUACGGUGAAAGUGCUUUUUGACAGAGUGUUUAAUUGCUAGAUGCACACGAGACACACCAAAGCCUCUCGCAAAAGACCUCCCUGCCAAACCCCCUCCCCGGGGACGAGCGGACGGCACCGACGAACUGCAGCCAGCAACUGCAUCGCAGGCGAGAUACGCUUCUUCUAUUCCCCACAAAGAGGGUGCCCGUAGAUCUGAGGGCGUGGCUCCGAUUCAUGGACGCUGGUAGACUGGGCGUCGACAUUGAGGGUCGCCCGGAUGGUGUCCUCUGGUUGAUGUCGGGACUGGGAGAGGGUUAGCAGUGCGCUGCUCCUGACGCCGAUAGAACAAGGCAUCGACGCCAAGGGUAGUUUGGGUGGUUGACUUCGGGAGAGGUUUGCUGCGCGUAGUGCAUGGCUCCCUUUCACGGGCGCGGAGAAGCUGGACGAAGCGAUUUGCUUGUCGUCGGUGGCCUAAAGGUCGUCGGCGUGAAGAUUGACACCAGUGUGAGUGUAGAGGUCGUGCGGUGCGAGUGUAGAGGUCGUGCGGUGGCCCUUACCCGCGGGGGCCGACGCCAGUGACACAGGCGCAGUGGCGGAGCCAGCCUUUGGAAUUUAGGUGUGCAGAUCUAUAAUUUAGGUGUGCAGCCUUUGGAGGAGGAGGAGGUGUAUGAGGAGGGAGGGCUGCGCCAGGGAAGAGGUGCGGCUGCCCUCCCACCCCUCCACUAUAUAUAGGGGCAAGGGGAGAGGGGGAGGCGCCCUAGGGUUUCCCCUAGGGGGCGGUGGCCAAGCAGAUUGGAUCUCCCUAGGGAAAAUCCUAAGGAGACUUGCCCCCCAAGCCAAGCAGGUGGAGGCGCCACACCUCCCCAAGUAACGUGGGAAAGGGUGUGGGGGCGCACCACCCCUUAGUGGGCUGGUUUGGCCCUUCCCCUUUGGCCCAUGAGGCCCUCCAACACUUGCCGGGGCUCCCGAAACACCUUUCGGUCAUGCUGGCCAUAGCCUGGUACCCCCGGAACACUUCCGGACUCCAAUACCCUUCGUCCAAUAUAUCGAUCUUCACCGCCAGACCAUUCCGGAACUCCUCGUGAUGUCCGGAAUCUCAUCCGGGACUCCGAACAACCUUCGGUAACCACAUACUAUUUCCCAUAACAACUCUAGCGUCACCGAACCUUAAGUGUGUAGACCCUACGGGUUCGGGAACCAUGCAGACAUGACCGAGACACCUCUCCGGCCAAUAACCAAUAGCGGGAUCUGGAUACCCAUAUUGGCUCCCACAUGUUCCACGAUGAUCUCAUCGGAUGAACCACGAUGUCGGGGAUUCAAUCAAUCCCGUAUACAAUUCCCUUUGUCUAUCGGUAUGUUACUUGCCCGAGAUUCGAUCGUCGGUAUCCCAAUACCUCGUUCAAUCUCGUUACCGGCAAGUCACUUUACUCGUUCUGUAACGCAUGAUCCCGUGGCUAACUCCUUAGUCACAUUGAGCUCAUUAUGAUGAUGCAUUACCGAGUGGGCCCAGAGAUACCUCUCCAUCAUACGGAGUGACAAAUCCCAGUCUCGAUUCGUGCCAACCCAACAGACACUUUCGGAGAUACCUGUAGUGCACCUUUAUAGCCACCCAAUUACGUUGUGACGUUUGGUACACCCAAAGCAUUCCUACGGUAUCCGGGAGUUGCAUAAUCUCAUGGUCUAAGGAAACGAUACUUGACAUUAGAAAAGCUCUUAGCAAACGAACUACACGAUCUUGUGCUAUGCUUAGGAUUGGGUCUUGUCCAUCACAUCAUUCUCGUAAUGAUGUGAUCCCGUUAUCAAUGACAUCCAAUGUCCAUGGUCAGGAAACCAUAACCAUCUAUUGAUCAACGAGCUAGUCAACUAGAGGCUUACUAGGGACAUGUUGUGGUCUAUGUAUUCACACAUGUAUUACGCUUUCCAGUUAAUACAGUUAUAGCAUGAACAAUAGACAAUUAUCAUGAACAAGGAAAUACAAUAAUAACCAUUUUAUUAUUGCCUCCAGGGCAUAUUUCCAACAGUCUCCCACUUGCACUAGAAUCAAUAAUCUAGUUCACAUCACUAUGUGAUUGUAAUGAAUCCAACACCCAUGGGGUUUGUUCAUAUCUCGCCUGUGAGAGAGGUUACUAGUCAACGGGUCUGAACCUUUCAGAUCCGUGUGUGCUUUACAAAUCUCUAUGUCAUCUUGUAGAUGCAGCUACCACGCGCUACUUGGAGCUAUUCCAAAUAACUGCUCUACUAUACGAAUCUGGUUUACUACUCAGAGUCAUCCGGAUAGUGUCAAAGUUUGCAUCGACGCAACCCUUUACGACGAACUCUUUCACCACCUCCAUAAUCGAGAAAAUUCCUUAGUCCACUAGUUACUAAGGAUAAGUUCGACCGCUAUCAUGUGAUCCAUUCCUGGAUCACUCUUGUACCCCUUGACUAACUCAUGGCAAGGUACACUUCAGGUGCGGUACACAGCAUAGCAUACUGUAGAGCCUACGUCUAAAGCAUAGGGGACGACCUUCGUCCUUUCUCUCUCUUCUGCCGUGGUCAGGUCUUGAGUCUUACUCAAUACUCACACCUUGUAACACAGCCAAGAACUCCUUCUUUGCUGAUCUAUUUUCAACUCCUUCAAAAUCCUGUCACGGUAUGCAUUCACUUGAAAGUACUAUUAAGCGUUUUCGAUCUAUCCUUAUAGAUCUUGAUGCUCAAUGUUCAAGUAGCUUAAUGCAGGUUUUGCAUUGAAAAACACUUUUCAAAUAACCCUGUAUGUUUUCCAGAAAUUCUACAUCAUUUCUGAUCAACAAUAUGUCAACAACAUAUACUCAUCAGAAAUUCUAUAGUGCUCCCACUCACUUCUUUGGAAAUACAAGUUUCUCAUAAACUUUGUAUAAACCCAAAAUCUUUGAUCAUCUCAUCAAAGCGUACAUUCCAACUCCGAGAUGCUUACUCCAAUCCUUAGAAGGAUUGCUGGAGCUUUGCAUACUUGUUAGCAUCUUUCAGGAUUGACAAAACCUUCUGGUUGUAUCACAUACAACCUUUCCUCAAGAAAAUCGUCAAGGAAACAAUGUUUUGACAUCCUAUCUGCAUGAUUUCAUAAAUAAUGCAGUAACUGCUAAUAUAAUUCCAACAGACUCUUAGCAUCGCUACGAGUGAGAAAGUCUCAUCGCAGUCAACUCCUUGAACUUGCCGGAAAACAUCUUAACGACAAGUCGAGCUUUCUUAAUGGUGACACUUACCAUCAUUGUCUGUCUUCCUUUUAAAAUCCAUCUGCACCCAACAGCCUUACGACCAUCAAGUAGUUCUUCCAAAGUCUACACUUUGUUUUUAUACAUGGAUCCUCUCUCGGAUUUUAUGGCCUCGAGCCAUUCGUCGGAAUACGGGCCCAUCAUCGCUUCUCCAUAGCUCGUAGGUUCAUUGUUGUCUAGCAACAUGACUUCCAAGACAUGAUUACGUACCACUCUGAAGUAGCAUGCAUCCUUGUCGUCCUACAAGGUUUGGUAGUGACUUGAUCCGAAGUUUCAUGAUCACUAUCAUAAGCUUCCACUUCAAUUGGUGUAGGUGCCACGGGAACAACUUCCUGUGCCCUGCUACACACUAGUUGAAGUCAUGGUUCAAUAACCUCAUCAAGUCUCCACCAUCCUCCCACUCAAUUCUUUCGAGAGAAACUUUUCCUCGAGAAAGGACAUGUUUCUAGAAACAAUCACUUUGCUUCCGGAUCUGAAAUAGGAGGUAUACCCAACUGUUUUGGGUAUUCUAUGAAGAUGCAUUUAUCCGCUUUGGGUUCGAGCUUAUCAGCCUGAAACUUUUCCACAUAAGCGUCGCAGCCCCAAACUUUUAAGAAAUGACAGCUCAGGUUUCUCUAAACCAUAGUUCAUACGGUGUCAUCUCAACGGAAUUGCGUGGUGCCCUAUUUAAAGUGAAUGCGGUUGUCUCUAAUGCCUAACCCAUAAACGAUAGUGUAAUUCGAUAAGAGACAUCAUGGUAUGCACCAUAUCCAGUAGGGUGCAGUUAUGAUGUUCAGACACACCAUCACACUAUGAUGUUCCAGGCGGUAUUAGUCAUGAAACAAUUUCCACAAUUUCUUAAUUGUGUGCCAAACUCGUAACUCAGAUAUUCAUCUCUAUGAUCAUAUCACAGACAUUUUAUCCUCUUGUCACGACGAUCUUCAACUUCACUCUGAAAUUACUUGAACCUUUCAAUAAUUCAGACUUGUGUUUCAUCAAGUAAAUAUACUCAGCAUCUACUCAAAUCAUCUGUGAAGCAAGAACAUAACGAUAUCCACUACAUGCCUCAGCACUCAUUGGACUGCACACAUCAAAAUGUAUUACUUCCAACAAGUUGCUUUCUUGUUCCAUCUUACUGAAAACGAGGCCUUUCAGUCAUCUUGCCCAUGUGGUAUGAUUUGCAUGUCUCAAGUGAUUCAAAAUCAAGUGAGUCCAAACGAUCCAUCUGUAUGGACUUUCUUCAUGCAUAUAUACUAAUAGACAUGGUUCGCAUGUCUCAAUCUUUUCAAAAACGAGUGAGUCCAAAGAUCCAUCAACAUGGAGCUUCUUCAUGCGUUUUAUACCAAUAUGACUCAAGUGGCAGUGCCACAAGUAUGUGGUACUAUCAUUACUAUCUUAUGUCUUUUGGCAUGAACAUGUGUAUCACUACGAUCGAGAUUCAAUAAACCAUUCAUUUUAGGUGCAAGACCAUUGAAGGUAUUAUUCAAAUAGACAGAGUAACCAUUAUUCUCCUUAAAUGAAUAACUGUAUUGUGAUAAACAUAAUCCAAUCAUGUCUAUGCUCAACGCAAACACCAAAUAAAAAUUAUUUAGGUUUAACACCAAUCUCGAUGGUAGAGGUAGCAUGCGAUGCUUGAUCACAUCAACCUUGGAAACACUUCCAACACAUAUCAUCAUCUCACCUUUAGCUAGUCUCCGUUUAUUUCGUAGCCUUUUAUUUCGAGUUACCAACACUUAGCAACCAAACCGGUAUCUAAUACCCUGGUGCUACUAGGAGUACUAGUAAAGUACACAUUAAUAUAAUGUAUAUCCAAUAUACUUCUGUCGACCUUGCCUGCCUUCUCAUGUACCAACUAUCUAGGGUAGUUCUGCUUCAGUGACCGUUCCCCUCAUUACAGAAGCACUUAGUCUCGGGUUUGGGUUCAACCUUGGGUUUCUUCGCUGGAGCAGCAACUGAUUUGCCGUUUCAUGAAGUAUCCCUUCUUGCCCUUGCCCUUCUUGAAACUAGUGGUUUUAGUAACCAUCAACAAUUGAUGCUCCUACUUGAUUUCUACUUUCGCGGUGUCAAACAUCGCGAGUUGCUCAAGGAUCAUCAUGUCUAUCCCUGAUAUGUUAUAGUUCAUCACGAAGCUCUAAUAGCUUGGUGUCAGUGACUAUGGAGAACCAUCACUAUCUCAUCUGGAAGAUUAACUCCCACUCGAUUCAAGCGAUUGUAGUACUCAGACAAUCUGAGCACAUGCUCAACGAUUGAGCUUUUCUCCCUUAGUUUGCAGGCUUAAGAAACUUGUCAGAGGUCUCAUACCUCUUGACGUGGGCACUAGUCUGAAAUCCCAAUUUCAGUCUUUGGAACAUCUCAUAUGUUCUGCGACGUUUCAAAACCGUCUUUGGUGCCACAAUUUUAAACCGUCAGCAUCACACACUGAACUAUCACGUAGUCAUCAAAACGUGUAUGUCAGAUGUUCGCAACAUCCACAAACGACGCUCGAGGUUCAGCACACUGAGCGGUGCAUUAAGGACGUAAGCCUUCUGUGCAACAAUGAGGCAAUCCUCAGUUUACGGACCCAGACCGCAUAAUUGCUACUAUCAACUUUCAACUAAAUUUUCUCUAGGAACAUAUCUUAGUAGAACUAAAGCGUAAGCUACGACAUAAUUUGCAAAGACCUUUUGACUAUGUUCAUGAUAAUUAAGUUCAUCUAAUCAAAUUAUUUAAUGAACUCCCACUCAGAUAGACAUCCCUCUAGUCAUCUAAGUGAUACAUGAUCCGAGUCAACUAGGCCGUGUCCGAUCAUCACGUGAGACGGACUAGUCAUCAUCGGUGAACAUCUCCAUGUUGAUCGUAUCUACUAUACGACUCAUGUUCGACCUUUCGGUCUCUUGUGUUCCGAGGCCAUGUCUGUACAUGCUAGGCUCGUCAAGUCAACCUAAAUGUUUCGCAUGUGUAAAUCUGGCUUACACCCGUUGUAUGCGAACGUUAGAAUCUAUCACACCCGAUCAUCACGUGGUGCUUCGAAACAACGAACCUUCGCAACGGUGCACAGUUAGGGGGAACACAUCUCUUGAAAUUUUAGUGAGGGAUCAUCUUAUUUAUGCUACCGUCGUUCUAAGCAAAUAAGAUGUAAACAUGACAAACAUCACAUGCAAAUUAUAAAGUGACAUGAUAUGGCCAAUAUCAUCUUGCGCCUUUUGAUCUCCAUCUUCGAGGCGCGGCAUGAUAACCUUCGUCACCGGCAUGACACCAUGAUCUCCAUCAUCGUGUCUUCAUGAAGUUGUCUCGCCAACUAUUACUUCUACUACUAUGGCUAACGGUUAGCAAUAAGGUAAAGUAAUUACAUGGCGUUUUUCAUUGACACGCAGGUCAUACAAUAAAUUAAGACAACUCCUAUGGCUCCUGCCGGUUGUCAUACUCAUUGACAUGCAAGUCAUGAUUCCUAUUACAAGAACAUGAUCAAUCUCAUACAUCACAUAUAUAUAAUUCAUCACAUCCUUUUGGCCAUAUCACAUCACAUAGCAUACCCUGCAAAAACAAGUUAGACGUCCUCUAAUUGGUGUUGCAUGUUUUACGUGGCUGCUAUGGGUUUCUAGCAAAACGUUUCUUACCUACGCAAAAGCCACAACGGUGAUAUGCCAAUUUCUAUUUACCCUUCAUAAGGACCCUCUUCAUCGAAUCCGAUCCUACUAAAGUGGGAGAGACAGACACCCGCUAGCCACCUUAUGCAUCAAGUGCAUGUUAGUCGGUGGAACCUGUCUCACGUAAGUGUACGUGUAAGGUCGGUCCGGGCCGCUUCAUCCCACAAUGCCACCGAAUCAAGAUAAGACUACUAACGGUAAGCAAAUUGAACAAAUCAUCGCCCACAACUACUUUGUGUUCUACUCGUGCAUAGAAUCUACGCAUAGACCUAGCUCAUGAUGCCACUGUUGGGGAACGUAGCAAUAAUUCAAAAUUUUCCUACGUGUCACCAAGACCAAACUAGGAGAUGCUAACAACGAGAGAGAGGGAGUGCAUCUUCAUACCCUUGAAGAUCGCUAAGCGGAAGCGUUACAAGAACGCGGUUGAUGGAGUCGUACUCGCGGCGAUUCAGAUCGCGGAAGAUCCGAUCUAGCGCCGAACGGACGGCGCCUCCGCGUUCAACACACGUACAGCCCGGGGACGUCUCCUCCUUCUUGAUCCAGCAAGGGGAGAGGAGAAGUUGAGGGAGAACUCCAGCAGCACGACGGCGUGGUGGCAAUGGAGCUCGUGGUUCUCCGGCAGAGCUUCGCUAAGCAUUACAGAGGAGGAGGAGGUGUAUGAGGAGGGAGGGCUGCGCCAGGGAAGAGGUGCGGCUGCCCUCCCACCCCUCCACUAUAUAUAGGGGCAAAGGGAGAGGGGGAGGCGCCCUAGGGUUUCCCCUAGGGGGCGGCGGCCAAGCAGAUUGGAUCUCCCUAGGGAAAAUCCUAGGGAGACUUGCCCCCCAAGCCAAGCAGGUGGAGGCUUGCCUCCCAAGCCAGGUGGAGGCGCCCCACCUCCCCAAGUAACGUGGGAAAGGGUGUGGGGGGCGCACCACCCCUCAGUGGGCUGGUUUGCCCCUUCCCCUUUGGCCCAUGAGGCCCUCCAAGACUUGCCGGGGCUCCCGAAACACCUUUCGGUCAUGCUGGCCAUAGCCUGGUACCCCCGGAACACUUCCGGACUCCAAUACCCUUCGUCCAAUAUAUCGAUCUUCACCGCCGGACCAUUCCGGAACUCCUCGUGAUGUCCGGAAUCUCAUCCGGGACUCCGAACAACCUUCGGUAACCACAUACUAUUUCCCAUAACAACUCUAGCGCCACCGAACCUUAAGUGUGUAGACCCUACGGGUUCGGGAAACAUGCAGACAUGACCGAGACACCUCUCCCAAUAACCAAUAGCGGGAUCUGGAUACCCAUAUUGGCUCCCACAUGUUCCACGAUGAUCUCAUCGGAUGAACCACGAUGUCGGGGAUUCAAUCAAUCCCGUAUACAAUUCCCUUUGUCUAUCGGUAUGUUACUUGCCCGAGAUUCGAUCGUCGGUAUCCCAAUACCUCGUUCAAUCUCGUUACCGGCAAGUCACUUUACUCGUUCUGUAACGCAUGAUCCCGUGGCUAACUCCUUAGUCACAUUAAGCUCAUUAUGAUGAUGCAUUACCGAGUGGGCCCAGAGAUACCUCUCCAUCAUACGGAGUGACAAAUCCCAGUCUCGAUUCGUGCCAACCCAACAGACACUUUCGGAGAUACCUGUAGUGCACCUUUAUAGCCACCCAGUUACGUUGUGACGUUUGGUACACCCAAAGCAUUCCUACGGUAUUCGGGAGUUGCACAAUCUCAUGGUCUAAGGAAACGAUACUUGACAUUAGAAAGGCUCUUAGCAAACGAACUACACGAUCUUGUGCUAUGCUUAGGAUUGGGUUUAGUCCAUCACAUCAUUCUCGUAAUGAUGUGAUCCCGUUAUCAAUGACAUCCAAUGUCCAUGGUCAGGAAACCAUAACCAUCUAUUGAUCAACGAGCUAGUCAACUAGAGGCUUACUAGGGACAUGUUGUGGUCUAUGUAUUCACACAUGUAUUACGGUUUCCAGUUAAUACAAUUAUAGCAUGAACAAUAGACAAUUAUCAUGAACAAGGAAAUACAAUAAUAACCAUUUUAUUAUUGCCUCUAGGGCAUAUUUCCAACAGCGCAACUCCUAUUGAUAUACAUAUUUUAUACUAAAAUUUUGUACUUACUAUACUACUGUGUUAAGGAGUAUAAUUUUUCAUUACUUAUUUGGUACUCUUAACAAAAGAAUAAAGUUAAAUAUUAGUUGUAUUAUAUAUUUGUAAUGUAUAUCGUUGAAAAAUACUCAUGUGUUGCACUGAAUUCAGUUUCUACUGUGUAACAUUUUUUUAUUUUUUUGAUACUUGUGUAAAUUAUGCAGUUCAUACGUAUUUAUGUUAGAUAUCUCUAAAACUUAUGGUUUAAAAAAAAUAUAGUAAUAGUGUGGUUGUACUAUACUAUUAGGAAAACAUAUCUAUAGAAAAUUCUGGAGUACACAUAUACUCGUUUUUUUGGAGCACACAUGUAGAAAUUUAAGAAUCUUUUUGAGGGAUUAAUGUACAAAUUUAACUAUAUGUUUAUUAAACCAUAUGGUUUAACGAUGUAUCUAUAUACUCAUUUUUUUACAUAAUAAUGGGUGUAUCUGUAUGCCCAUGUACUCAUCUAGCUUUGCAUGGAUCGAGCGAACCGAAGAAUCGCAUUCCUAGCGAGGGAAUCGAGGAGAUAGGCACGACCUUCACCGCUCUAGUUCAUGGGGCCGUUGAGCACAAUAACCCUUUGUCUUUGUCAGCGAGGUCAUCGCCGGUCGGUGGUGGUUAGUGUUGAAUAGGGAGUACAACGUACACUACUGGGGAAAGACUUAUAGAUGGGCUCAAAUUAGUGGCGGACAAAAUAUAAGACCCGCUUCCUUUCUUCCUGCUUUCGCCCUGCGGCAAAUCUUUUCCGAGAAAACGUCAAUCCUUAGUAACGAGCUGCGGGAGGCUCCCGCGACCCCGAGCUAGGGUUCCUCCCCUGCUCCCCCCGCCGCCGCCGGCCACCACUCGCCCCCUCCCGCCGGCGCCGGCCGCCGUCGCGCGUGCCCCCGGGCUACCUCCCUCUCCCCCUCCCCCGGCGCUCCCGUCGCCCCCCGAGGCGGCGGAGCGCCCCCUGCCCGCCUCCCCGUCUCGACCACCUCCUCCUACAUCUCCCUUAGCCGCCGCCGGCAGCGGCCUCCGGCGUGCCCGGAUGGCGCCGGCGCCGGUGGACGUCCAUUCCCCGCGUGCCUGGAGGAGGAGUCGGGGCUCCCUCCUGCCCGGCGGCGGUGUUGUUCGGCUCGCGGCGGUGGGGCCCGGCGGCGGAGUUCUGCGGGCCUCGGGUGCUCUCGACGCGGCGGCGUGGCCAUUGGCUACGGGGCGGCGCGGUGGGCGGCUGGCCGGCGGCGCCUGCUCGGCCCAGAUCUAGGCCCUUUCGGGUCCCAUCUGGGCUAGGGCGGGCUUGCGGUCCGGGCCGCGACAGCGUAGCUCCCGGGUGGUGAGGCGAGGCGGCCGUGGAUGCGAUGGUGAUGGCUUCGGCGACCGGCGUGCUACAGCGUGGCUGUAGGGACUGUCCGGACCCGUUGGGGUUCGGCCUUGCCGGUGGUGGCCUGGCAAGUCCCUGUCGCUAUGUCCGGUCGGCUCCGCGUGGCGGUGGAGGUUGUUCCCUCCUAUCGGCUGCGUUGCGGUUGCCACCGAGCCCGGUGUCUUCUCAUCCUACCUCCAGGUCUCGUGUUGGUGGCCUCAGUGAGACGGUGAUGAUGGUGCGGUAUCUGUGGUGGCAUAGGCUGGUGGGCGGCAUGUUGGGCGGUGCGCUUCCGUUUGUCUGGGGUGGAGGUGGUGGUUUCGGGGCGGGAGAAAUCUCUGGCGGUUCGUUCGCCACCGGCGCCGCUGCGCCCGUGGGCGUUGCCGGACCCUCCUGAGGGGCAUCGGUGACACCCCUUCCCCACUGCCAUCCGCGUACCGGGGAAAACUCUAGGACUUGUCCGGGCAGCAGCGUCGUCGUCGUCGCAUUUCUUCAUGAAGAUGUUGCUUGGUACGCGAGGCUUCGGAGUGCUUGGUGGGCGGUGGUACUUCUCCGGAGGGUGCAGCGGGUGUCGGCGAUCUCUGCUUAGUUGAGCUGCCGGCGUCAGCAUUUACUUCUUUUUUCUUUCUCUCUUUUUUCUUUUGGGCUUGUUUGUGCUGCGGCCCGAGCAAGCUGGUUGUAUCGGUUGGAUGUUGCUUUAUAAUCUAAAGCGGGGGAAACCCUUUUUCGUAAAUAUAAGACCCGCCAUUCAUAAUACCCAAGCCACUAUAUAUAGCUCAGAAAGUUUACGCACUGAGCUUUGGCUAAUUGGUUGAAAAGGACUUCUCGGUUCUGAGUUUACUGACGCGUGUAAUAUUUUGGGUUUUUACCGUGUACAGUUAUGUGGUGGACGUAGAUAGCUGACCAAAAUUUUGUUAACGUGUGUAGCGCUUCUUUUGGUGCGGUUAGCGAUUUUGGAAGUGUGUGGGCCAGCCCGUUGACUUUGUUGCGUAAGGUUUCUUCGGUGGGUCUGCUUGUGCGCUGCAUGCUGGAUUUGUUUAAAGUAGAAAGUAAAGAACGAGAGAGUUUGAAUAAAAUAUGAUCCAUCCGUCUUUAUUGAUGAUAAAAAUGGGGUAUUUAUACCCGGGCGAAGUACACAUGGUGUUUGACGGUCAAGUAUAGACAUAGUUACUUGAGAGCCAAGGAAUUACAUAGUUGCCUUGAGAGCCAAGUAAGUACACGAUUGCUUGAGAACCAAGAAACCUAUCUAAUAAUUAACUUAAUCCUAAUUAGCUUAAUUAAUAGGCAACUAUUCUAUUCUUAACAUUCCCCCUUGUACAACGCCUCUUCUUGGGUAUAUUCAUCAUCUUGACAAAUUCUUUUAAUAAUCUUGAAUGUCUCCUCCAAAAACCCCGUGGGAAAAAUAUGAGGAGAAUAGUGCAGCUAUGUUGCUAAAACUCCUUUAAACCCAGUGGGGAAAAUAAUAAGGAGAAAAUGAUGCAACAUAUAAUAAUUAUUGUCUCUUGAUAACUCAUAUGAGAAAAACCUUUGAAGAAGGAGAAAACUCAUUGGUGAGUUUAGAGAACAAUUAAUAUGUCUUGAGUUCUUUCUUUAAAAACCUCGACAGGGAAAAUAGAAAGUAUGACAUAUGAUCUUUGAGGAGAUAUUGCCUCAUUAAAAACCAUUAUGAGAAACUUUGAGAGAAAACUCAUAAGGGAAAAGAGUGCGAUCUGAUAUGUCAUCGAAAACUUCUUUAAAACCCAGUGGGGAAAAUAUAAGGAGAAAAUGAUAUGACAUAUACAGGCACUUGUGUUCAUAUUGUCUCAUUAAAAACCUUUUGUGAGAAACCAUCAGAGAAAAACUCAUGAAGGGGAAAAGAGUACAAUAUAUGCAAUCUGAUGAUUGUAAAUAGGUUAUAGUUUGGGAGAUUACUCCCCCCUGAACUUUGGAAAUCCGGAGGAUGUCUCAUACCAAUUUCAUUGACAUGAUCAAGACAUUGUGAAUAAUCUGUAGGAUUUUCAAAGUAUGUUGUUUGCAUAUUGUUUCCUCACUUUCUAUAAUUCGUGAGGAUAAGUAAUUUUUGAGCAAUGUACUUUACGAUAUUGCUCUUCAUAUAACCUGUAGUUUUUGAGUAACACAAGUGGUAGCGUCUUGAUUAAUCAAGUUAUGUGAUUCUGCUGAAUCUCAACCACAUGAUUUUGAGUGUGGUUUAUCAUUCUGCUAAGUCAUGCAUAUUUUGCAAUGCUUUCAGAUAAAGCAAUUAUGUUAGAAUGAUAACUGGAAAUAGCCAUUAAAGCCCAUUUAUAUGACUUCCAUAUGAAGGCUAUUCCAGCAAAUUCAGUCAUUGAUAUGGCAUUGUUGGGAUCAAAGAAAGGGCCAAUAUCAUUAUAUCAUAUCAUGGCCAUAUCUUGUAUUUCCUGAUGGAAAUAUCCAAGAUUUAUUGUGAGCUUGAGAUAUAAGCUGAUAUUUCUUAUAUCAACCAUAUACCUUUUGUUGGGGGUUGCACUCUGAACAAAGAUAGCAAAUAUAGUGUCAGGCCUGACGUAGUUUGCAAUUAUAUGAGUGCUUUGACAUUAGUGAGAUAUAUUACUUUAGGUCCUGAUAUCACUUCAUUAACACCCCUAGGUAUGAAUGGAUUUGUACCCUAUCAGGGGUAGUAUGACCAUAUUACAUGUAUUUUGUUGAUAUGAUAUAUCCACAUUGAACUUCUCGUAUAUGUUUUGGAUAUAUGUAGACUGAUAUAUGUAUUCUUGAGAGAAUGCUCAAGUUGUAAGCUUAAGCUAAAUUUGGUUGAAUCCAAAUUUUCCGUCUUGAGAUGAUUUUAUGUAUUUUUAGGUCCUUUAGAGACAUUGAUGACGAAAACAUCGAUAUACACUGAGGUGAUGUAAGGAAAUAAAAUUUCUACUUUCUUUAUUAAAACACAUAAACAAUCAUCAUUAUUCGAGUAAUCAUUUUGAAGAAGGAACGCAUUUAGUCGGUACUACCAUAUGAUUUUCGACUAUUUCAAGUCAUAGAGUGACUUAUGAAGUUUUACACAAAACUUGUUGCGAUUUGCUUUUGGAUUUGGAAGUAUAAGCCCUUUAGGGACUUCAAUAGAGAUUUCCGAAAUAAGUGACUCAUAUGAGUAUGUAGCCACUUCAUCCAUCAACUGGAUGGAUAACAUUAUUAUUUUUAUUGCCAAUGAUAUCUAGCCUCUUCCAAAUUUGCUCCUGGGAUAAAAGAAGCAUUGGCGGGCAUUUACUUAGGCCCCCCACUGGUGUGUCUUUCACUAGUGCGGGCGAAACAUAUGCCCACCACAACAUUAUUUCGGCAACCCGCACUCAAAUAUUUUAAAAUUUAAAAAGUUGGUUGUGGUGGACAGUCGGGGUCACCCGCGGCAGAUAUCUUAUGUCCAACAAAUCAUCAAGAAAUCAUAUUUACUGAACCUAGAAUACUCCAAGUUUGGUCCUGGGGCUUUGUAUGCUGUGUAUUAAUCAUACAAAAAAUUGAAGUCUAAAAGAUUUUUAAAAAUGGAGUGAGUGAGAAAAACAGUGGUUUACAUACGAAACCCCUACACUUUCUUGAGAGUGUCUGGUUUUGUUCAUGAGGUGCAUCAAAUUUUUACCGCAACACUCUUAAUUUUUUACCACACGCUACAAGGAUGCAAUGAAGACACCUUGCCAAGUUCAAUCCUUUCGGAGCUCGUUGGCAUGCUAUUUCCUAGCAAAGAGCGAAUUUUGUUUGGCUGAAAAAUCAGCCAAUACAUCAAAAAUAUCAUACCGACUCAAAAAGUGGCGAAAUUUGGUCAUGUGGCUUCGUAUGUUGCGUAUUAACCAUAUAAAAGUUUAAAGUCCAAACGAUUUUAUAAUGGAGUUGAGUGAGAAAAGCGGCGGUUUACGUUCGAAACCCUUACACUUUGUUUGAGAGUGUCUGGUUUGUAUAUGAGAUGCAUCAAAUUUUUACUGUAACGCUCUCAGUUUUUUACCACACCCUACAAGGGUGCAACGAAGACGCCAUUUCAAAUUUAAUCCCUUUUGGAGCUCGUUUUCUCACCAUUUCGUACCGAAGAGCGUUUUUUGCUUUUUAGAUGGCCGGAAAACCAACUGAUACAUCGGAAAUAGCAUACCAACUCAAAAAGCGGGCAAAUUUGGUCCUAGGGAUUUGUGUGGUGUGUAUUAACAAUAUAAAAAGUUUAAAUUCCAAAUUAUAAAAAUGAAGCUACAUUUUUACUUUUAAUGGCCGAAAAUUCCGUUAAUGUUUUGAAAUAGCAAACCAACUUAAAAAGUGGCCAAAUUUAAGCAUUUGACUCACAGUCGUGUGUAUUAAUCAUUGGAAAAGUUUGAUGUUGAAAUAUGACCCUACAACGGUCAAUAUAACCGUGACAUAAAAUUAGAAAAACAUUGCAGUGUCGGGCACAUGUAUUUGCCCACCACUCAUACUUAAUCUUGAAGUGGCGAGCACUGCGCUACACCUGCCACUUCAAAAGCCAUAUAUACCGCUUCAUCCACUCGAGCCUUAUCCAAUUCCCCAUUUUCCUCCUCACGUCACUAGCUCUCGCCCACUCUCCGCCCAAGAAAUUCAGCGGCAGGAGCUGUGUCGGCCAACGGAGCCAUCGUCGUCCAUGCCUUCCGCCGUGCACGUCGUCCACGCCGUCACUUCUGCCGCCACCGCCGCCCAGGGUAAGCUUCUUGCCCCGUUCACCGUUGCAGUAGCUAGGUUUAGGGCUAGGAUUAGUUGUUGUAAGGUUAAUUUGCUUAGUUAUUUGACAUGUUACUUUUAGAAUUUUGGAAUUUGCUCCACCAGAAUGAUUCAGUAGAUUCGGCUUAGAGAGAGGCAUUAGGAUUGCUAUCGUUUUAGGUGUGCUUUUUAGUUAUGUACUCUACAAUUUUGAAGAACUCUACAAUUUUGAAGAAAGUUAGUGUUAUACAUUUCAAAUGAUGCUUGAAGUUAAGAAUCAGAUAUCAAUGCUUAUAGAUUAUUGUAAUUUUAGAAUGAUUCGGUAGUGUAGGAAUAUGACUUCUUAAUUUUAGAAUUUUAGAAUGAUGUAUUAAUUUUAGAACGAACAUGCACUUGACUUCAAUUGUUUUUCAAGAAUCAUAUACUAAGUGCCAAUGUUUCUUCUCAUCAAAUUUCUGGCACUUAAUAUGUCCAAUAUUAAGCAAAGGUCAUGCCAACAAAAUUUGUACUUUAUUUAUUUAUAUAGCUGCAUGUUUAAGAUCUCACAUUGUUAUGUUCAUUUGAACUUCAUUUAGCAUGUGAUUCGUAUUGUGUUGUAGUACAUGUGUUCAAUUUUUUACAUGGAUUCAUACAAAGUGCUAAUGUUUUGGCGAAACGUUGAUUAAAUUCUAUUCCGUCAAAUUUCUGGCACUUAAUAUGUUCUUUAUUAAGGAGAGGUCAUGCCAAAACAAAUCGCGUAUAUGUGUGUGUGUGUGUGUGUGUGUGUGUGUGUGUGUGUGUGUGUGUGCAUGUUCUAGGGCACUAUUUUUCAUGGAAAUGGCAGACAAUGGAAGGUACCGUGGUGUUUUCCAAAGGCAUUGGGGUGAGCGGGGGGCCCAGAUCCAAAACCCCAACAUGGGGCAAGAAGCAACGGUUCGGCACGUUCAACAUCGCCGAGGAGGCGGCAUGCGAUUAUGCUGUCAUGGCGCUGGGGUACCAGGGCGAAGGGCCCAGCUCAACUUUCCCAACAAUGUCUGGUGCAUGAGUCGGUUAGUGCCUCCCAACAUGAGGGUAGUCUCCAACGCCGAGGAGAAGUAGCACCUCAAGGCCGACGCACUGAUCAGGGCCGACAACAACAAAGUAGCGAUUAUUUGGUGGAGCAUUAUCUCAGGGAGGAUCCGCAGCUCUUUGCCUUGAAUGAGGCGUUGCUAACACUACUGCAGGAUGCUGCUAACGUGACACUACGACCAGAGACCUUUCGGCGAAACUGUGUGCGAUGCACUAAUCACAAACGGUGGUGUAAAAAACCGUCAAAAAAGGUGCAAAACGUUUGCGAUGAUGGAUGCAUCAAACACGGUUCAGAUUUUGGUUGUGUGUGCGAUGCAGGGCAUACGGUUCAUUUCAAUUAACUGUUUGCGAUGAGGAGGAACAAAAGAAACGGGCUGCCAUAUGAAGGCGUGUGCGAUGUAGAGCAUACGGUUCACUCGAAUGAACUAUUUGUGAUGAGGCGGAACAACAGAAACGGGCAGCCAGAUAAAGGUGUGUGCGAUAUACGGCAUACAGUUCACUCGGAUGAACUGUUUGCGUUGAGCCAAGAGAACAAAAACGGUUCAACUUAACAAGAUGUGUGUGAUACGCGGCAGACAGGUCUGUAAUCGGAAAUGUGUGGGAAGACCGAUAACAACAUAGACGAUUCCUGUUAACAAGCCGUGUGUGUUGUGAGCAAACGAUUGCUGGUAUACAAUUGUCAGUGAUUGAUGAAAUCAUCACCAACGGGUUCCAUUGUUUAGUCUGUGUGCGAUGUGAUUUGCUCUGUCUACAUAGCAUCAACAUAUAUACUUAAAAAGACAGCAUUGCAUAACCAAAUUAAGCAUACAAUUACACAAGUGACUACACACACUAAAGUAAGCAAUUACAUGCAUACUAAACUAGGAGAAACGAGGAUCUAAUCAUCUACUUCUUGUUGCGACGACGCUUGCCAUUGCUCUGCUUCCGGCUGGAUCCCUGGCCGUUUUGGGGAAGGAGGCACUUCCUCAUGUCAACGAUCCGCCUAUACAUGUCGUAACUCGUGUACGCCUCCUUGGCCGCGUACACGACGUGAGCUUUGUCGAUUUCUCCAUCUCUAGGCCGAGUGCCAGGCAUGCUUGUCCUUCUUGCAGGAAUCCUUCAUGUCUCUGUAGUAGGGGUCGAUGAUGGCCUCGGCGAGGUGAACCAGCGAGUCCUUCUCAUGCUCCUUGCUGCCCCAGAUCUUGUAUUGCCCCUGGAUGUGGACAAGAUUCUAGCAGGCAAUGCCCGAAUUCUUGAGCACCUUGACAUCGUUGGUGAUGUCCACCUUAGCGAACAUGUAGUGGGGGCUGUUGACAAACCUGGCGAAACGCUCGCAAGGCCUUGUGGCCAGACAGUAGUGGUAGACGAGGACGUGGUUGCGCACUCACAUAUGGGCGACGACGACCUUGGGACGAGACCCGACACGAGUGCGGGUGUACUCGAGGUCGAACCCGACCACCUUGUACUUCUCCUCGGCAAGCAACAACUCCAUGAUGUGGAUGGAGUGCUCCACCCAGACCGGGUUGUUGGUGUACACCACCGAGAGCUCCGUGAACCUUCGGUGGGUGUCCACCAUGGCAUGCAUGGUGAACUGCUGCUCGUCGUCGGCAGCCGCUCGGAGCGCCAUUGGAGCCGCGCAGGAUACCCUCUAAGAACUUGUCGUGGUGGGUGUGCUUCUUGAAAUGGUGGGGCGCGAUCGAAAGGUUGAAAAGACACAAGAGGCUUAAAUGGCCGCUGUAAAAAAUGGGGGCUAGCCAGCCUAUAAUCGUCACGUCUUGUCACGACGUUCAUAGCGUAGGAUUCCAAUGCACGCUUGACAACACCGCACCGCACGCGUUUCGUUUGACCACGCCUGGGCUCGAAGAGGCGCCAAAUGUAUCGUCGGUGAGCCUAUUCCCAUGCUACCGCGUAGCUUACCGCGCAAGCUUCCCGCCCGGCUAGUUUGGCCACGCGUCGGCUAGAAGAGGGACAAAUCGUGGGCGUUCAUUGCACACGGUUCCAAUUUUGGGAACCGUGUGUGAUUGACGUACUACCUCCGUCCUGGUUUAUUGGUCCCCUUUAUAAUUUUUACCAAAUUUUGACCAAAUAUUUAACUAAGAAAUGUUUAUGCAUGUCACCAAAAAUUAUAUCAUUGAACACUAUGCUCAAAUACCCAUCCAACGAUAUAAUUUUUACUGACCUGCACUAACAUUUUGUCAGUUAAACCUUUGGUCAAAAUUUAACACAAAUUACAAAGGGGACCAAUAAACCAAGACGGAGGUAGAUUCCAUCAACCGAACUGAUUGCAUCUAUAUCCCACGGUUAGACAUAAGUAAACAUAGAUUAAACAUACUCAGACAUAGAUAAUAAGCGUACACGUACACAAGCAUAGUUCAACCAUAAGUACAUAGUUCAACCAUCAUUAAGCAUACUCAAGCGUACAUAGUUCGAUCCCACAUCUCAUCUCACAUGCCGGCAUGAUCCUAAAGCUUCUCCAAGUACUCGGCGUACGCGCCGUGCGCCACCCUGCGAGAAUACUUCUGCUUGAAGGAGCUAACGGCCCGUCCUCUUGCAUGCGCCAGAACACUUAGAUACGCGUCAUGAAGCUUGUUGUUGCAAAAUGGGCAUCGAUAACCACCGUUCCAAAUCCUAAUACGCCUGUUAUGCUUUCCCGCAUAAAGCUCACUCAGGAUUUGCCUCUUGUACCUCUUCUGGCCAUCUUCAUCCUUGAUGUCCACAUCGUCAGAUAACACCUAUACAAAUAGUAAAACGAAUUUGGCAUCAAAUCAAUGUUUACAUGCCGUGAAGUAGGAUUAGGAAUUUAUGGAUAUUUAUUUAUAUAUAUCCAGAGAUUAUGGUUUGAUUUUUAAGCACAGUCGUCCAUGUACAGACAAAUCUUGAAGAAAAUAAUGACACAAACAUAUGUAGGUCAUUCAAAAUCAAUUGUAAUGUCCUGGCUAGGAAUUAUUAGCACGCACACUAACCCUGGUCGGAUUACUAGCAGAAAACAUUUGCACAGAUGAAACAACUAAUCACUUAUCACUUAUACCAUUCAAACAAUCAAUACACUACACGGAUCUAACGAAACUUACUCAGAUUUCAUGGAUUGGGAGAACAUAACCAUAGGAUUUCUAUUCCAAAAAGGGGGAGGCAGGAGUAAGUAGAGAAACCCUAUGAUUUAUUUGACACAUAAAUGGGUAUAGAUGACUAACCAGCUGUCCGUCGUUGUCGGAGUCGUCGCGGGAGUGGUCGUCGGAGUCGUCGCCGGGGUCGUCACCAGAGUCGGUGUGGAACUCCGCCUCCGGCUGUGGAAGCUCGACGCCGUCGACGACGUCAGGAUGUAGCGAUAACUCGCCGGUGGUGACGGCAAUCUCUGUCUCCAUCUCCACGCCGUGCUCCGGUGCUUUAGUAGCCCGGGUGUCGCCACUCCCUCCGAUGGGGCGCUUUGGCGGCAUCCUCAUACACUGACGGCUUUGAGGACUGAGAGCGGCGUCGAGGAUGCAAGCGGAGAGAGAGGAUUGUGUGUGUGCCGAGGAUGGGGGGUGCGGCCGCUCAGGCGCACCAUUAAUAUGGAGUAGUGGGAGUUGUGGGAGAGAGGCGGGCGGCGGUCAAACCGAUGGCUCGCCUCCCGGUGAGCCUGCUCACCGGAUUGCUGAUACGUCUCCAACGUAUCUAUAAUUUAUGAAGUAUUCAUGCUAACAUAUUAUCAUUCUUGGAUGUUUUACAAUCAUUUUAUAGCAACUUUAUAUCAUUUUUUGGGACUAACCUAUUGACCCAGUGCCCAGUGCCAGUUGCUGUUUUUUGCUUGUUUUUUACAUCGCAGGAAAUCGAUAUCAAACGGAGUCCAAACACCGCGAAACUUUUUGGAGAAUUUUUAUGGACCAGAACACCCAGGAUGGGUCAGAGCAGCACUUGGGGGGGUGCCCCGAGGGGGGCACAACCCACCAGGGCGCGCUUGGGCCCCCAGACGCGCCCAGGUGGGUUGUGCCGACCUCGGUGGCCUCCGGCACCCCCUCUUCGCCCUAUAAAUUCACAAAUAUUCCAAAACCCUUCGGGGUUAACCUAGAUCGGAAGUUCCGCCGCCGCAAGCCUCUGUAGCCACCGAAAACCAAUCGGAAGCCCGUUCCGGCACCCUGGCGGAGGGGGGAAUCAUCUCCGAUGGCCAUCUUCAUCAUCCGGGCGGCCACCACGAUGAGGA
rnacentral:lncRNA from 1 species